rnacentral:rRNA from 1 species
AUACGGAGGAUGCGAGCGUUAUCCGGAUUUAUUGGGUUUAAAGGGUGCGUAGGCGGCCUUGUAAGUCAGCGGUGAAAUUUUGCAGCUUAACUGUAAAAGUGCCGUUGAUACUGUGAGGCUAGGAUUUGGUUGCUGUGGGUGGAAUGUGUGGUGUAGCGGUGAAAUGCUUAGAGAUCACACAGAAUAUCGAUUGCGAAGGCAGCUCACAAAGCCAAGAUUGACGCUGAGGCACGAAAGUGUGGGGAUCAAACAGGAUUAGAUUCCCUGGUAGUCCACACUGUAAACGAUGAUAACUCGCUGUCGGCGAUAUACAGUCGGUGGCCAAGCGAAAGCGAUAAGUUAUCCACCUGGGGAGUACGACCGCAAGGUUGAAACUCAAAUGAAUUGACGGGG